rnacentral:snRNA from 1 species
AUCACUUCUCAGCCUUUUGGCUAAGAUCAAGUGUAGUACGUAGUAUAAUUACAAAUAUUUGCCAAAUAACUAUGCUUUGUCCUAUUGGGCAUAUGUGAAAAAUUGUGAAAUUAGAGCUUCAGUACCAUGCCCAACUGUUUACACUCUAC